UUAAGCGACUAAGCGUACACGGUGGAUGCCCUGGCAGUCAGAGGCGAUGAAGGACGUGCUAAUCUGCGAAAAGCGUCGGUAAGGUGAUAUGAACCGUUACAGCCGGCGAUGUCCGAAUGGGGAAACCCAGUGCAAUUCGUUGCACUAUCGUUAACUGAAUACAUAGGUUAACGAGGCGAACCGGGGGAACUGAAACAUCUAAGUACCCCGAGGAAAAGAAAUCAACCGAGAUUCCCCCAGUAGCGGCGAGCGAACGGGGAGCAGCCCAGAGUCUGAAUCAGCUUGUGUGUUAGUGGAACGGUCUGGAAAGUCCGACGGUACAGGGUGAUAGUCCCGUACACCAAAAUGCACAGGUUGUGAACUCGAAGAGUAGGGCGGGACACGUGGUAUCCUGUCUGAAUAUGGGGGGACCAUCCUCCAAGGCUAAAUACUCCUGACUGACCGAUAGUGAACCAGUACCGUGAGGGAAAGGCGAAAAGAACCCCGGCGAGGGGAGUGAAAAAGAACCUGAAACCGUGUACGUACAAGCAGUGGGAGCACCUUCGGGUGUGACUGCGUACCUUUUGUAUAAUGGGUCAGCGACUUAUAUUCUGUAGCAAGGUUAACCGUAUAGGGGAGCCGCAGGGAAACCGAGUCUUAACUGGGCGUUAAGUUGCAGGGUAUAGACCCGAAACCCGGUGAUCUAGCCAUGGGCAGGUUGAAGGUUGGGUAACACUAACUGGAGGACCGAACCGACUAAUGUUGAAAAAUUAGCGGAUGACUUGUGGCUGGGGGUGAAAGGCCAAUCAAACCGGGAGAUAGCUGGUUCUCCCCGAAAGCUAUUUAGGUAGCGCCUCGUGAAUUCAUCUUCGGGGGUAGAGCACUGUUUCGGCUAGGGGGUCAUCCCGACUUACCAACCCGAUGCAAACUACGAAUACCGAAGAAUGUUAUCACGGGAGACACACGGCGGGUGCUAACGUCCGUCGUGAAGAGGGAAACAACCCAGACCGCCAGCUAAGGUCCCAAAGUCAUGGUUAAGUGGGAAACGAUGUGGGAAGGCACAGACAGCCAGGAUGUUGGCUUAGAAGCAGCCAUCAUUUAAAGAAAGCGUAAUAGCUCACUGGUCGAGUCGGCCUGCGCGGAAGAUGUAACGGGGCUAAACCAUGCACCGAAGCUGCGGCAGCGACACUAUGUGUUGUUGGGUAGGGGAGCGUUCUGUAAGCCUGCGAAGGUGACCUGUGAGGGUUGCUGGAGGUAUCAGAAGUGCGAAUGCUGACAUAAGUAACGAUAAAGCGGGUGAAAAGCCCGCUCGCCGGAAGACCAAGGGUUCCUGUCCAACGUUAAUCGGGGCAGGGUGAGUCGACCCCUAAGGCGAGGCCGAAAGGCGUAGUCGAUGGGAAACAGGUUAAUAUUCCUGUACUUGGUGUUACUGCGAAGGGGGGACGGAGAAGGCUAUGUUAGCCGGGCGACGGUUGUCCCGGUUUAAGCAUGUAGGCUGGUUGUCCAGGCAAAUCCGGAUAAUCAAGGCUGAGGUGUGAUGACGAGGCACUACGGUGCUGAAGUAACAAAUGCCCUGCUUCCAGGAAAAGCCUCUAAGCAUCAGGUAACAUCAAAUCGUACCCCAAACCGACACAGGUGGUCAGGUAGAGAAUACCAAGGCGCUUGAGAGAACUCGGGUGAAGGAACUAGGCAAAAUGGUGCCGUAACUUCGGGAGAAGGCACGCUGGUGUGUAGGUGAAGUCCCUGCGGAUGGAGCUGAGACCAGUCGAAGAUACCAGCUGGCUGCAACUGUUUAUUAAAAACACAGCACUGUGCAAACACGAAAGUGGACGUAUACGGUGUGACGCCUGCCCGGUGCCGGAAGGUUAAUUGAUGGGGUUAUCCGUAAGGAGAAGCUCUUGAUCGAAGCCCCGGUAAACGGCGGCCGUAACUAUAACGGUCCUAAGGUAGCGAAAUUCCUUGUCGGGUAAGUUCCGACCUGCACGAAUGGCGUAAUGAUGGCCAGGCUGUCUCCACCCGAGACUCAGUGAAAUUGAACUCGCUGUGAAGAUGCAGUGUACCCGCGGCAAGACGGAAAGACCCCGUGAACCUUUACUAUAGCUUGACACUGAACAUUGAGCCUUGAUGUGUAGGAUAGGUGGGAGGCUUUGAAGCGUGGACGCCAGUCUGCGUGGAGCCAACCUUGAAAUACCACCCUUUAAUGUUUGAUGUUCUAACGUUGGCCCCUUACCGGGGUUGCGGACAGUGUCUGGUGGGUAGUUUGACUGGGGCGGUCUCCUCCCAAAGCGUAACGGAGGAGCACGAAGGUUAGCUAAUCCUGGUCGGACAUCAGGAGGUUAGUGCAAUGGCAUAAGCUAGCUUGACUGCGAGCGUGACGGCGCGAGCAGGUGCGAAAGCAGGUCAUAGUGAUCCGGUGGUUCUGAAUGGAAGGGCCAUCGCUCAACGGAUAAAAGGUACUCCGGGGAUAACAGGCUGAUACCGCCCAAGAGUUCAUAUCGACGGCGGUGUUUGGCACCUCGAUGUCGGCUCAUCACAUCCUGGGGCUGAAGUAGGUCCCAAGGGUAUGGCUGUUCGCCAUUUAAAGUGGUACGCGAGCUGGGUUUAGAACGUCGUGAGACAGUUCGGUCCCUAUCUGCCGUGGGCGCUGGAGAAUUGAGGGGGGCUGCUCCUAGUACGAGAGGACCGGAGUGGACGCAUCACUGGUGUUCGGGUUGUCAUGCCAAUGGCACUGCCCGGUAGCUAAAUGCGGAAGAGAUAAGUGCUGAAAGCAUCUAAGCACGAAACUUGCCCCGAGAUGAGUUCUCCCUGAGACUUUAAGUCUCCUGAAGGAACGUUAAAGACGAUGACGUUGAUAGGCCGGGUGUGUAAGCGCAGCGAUGCGUUGAGCUAACCGGUACUAAUGAACCGUGAGGCUUAACCUU
rnacentral:rRNA from 1 species